rnacentral:rRNA from 1 species
AUGAAACAUUGGGAUAAGAACUCUAUAGUUUGCAAAAUAAAUAUCAUAAAUCCAGAUUAUAUAAUUAAGUCAGGACCAAUAGAAGCUACACCCAAAGAUAUCGAAGAGUUCAAAAUGCAUAUUGAAGAGUUAUUAAAGUUAAAAGCUAUAAGAGAAAGCAGAAGCCCUCAUCGAUCUGCUGCUUUUAUAGUUAGAAAUCAUGCUGAAGAAGUUAGAGGUAAAUCUAGAAUGGUAAUUAAUUUUAAAAGGCUUAAUGAUAAUACAGUUGAUGAUGCAUAUAAUAUACCUAAUAAGCAGGAAUGGAUUAAUAGAAUACAAGGAAGUAAAUAUUUCUCUAAAUUCGACUUAAAGGCAGGAUUUUGGCAAGUAAAAAUGGCUGAAGAAUCUAUUCCUUGGACAGCAUUUACUUGUCCACAAGGCCGUUAUGAAUGGCUAGUAAUGCCAUUAGGUUUAAAGAAUGCACCUGCACUAUUUCAAAGAAAGAUGCAAAAUAUAUUUAAUGAGAAUCAAGCAUUUAUAUUAGUAUACGUAGAUGAUCUGUUAAUAUUCUCAAAAUCAUACAAAGAGCAUAUAGCCCAUCUUGAAGUGUUCUUUCGAAAGGUAGAACAAAAUGGAUUCAUACUAUCCAAAAAGAAGAUGGAAAUUUGCAAAGAAAAAAUAAAUUUCCUUGGUCAUGAAAUAGGAGAAGGAAAGAUAUAUCUACAAGAACAUAUUGCCAAGAAAAUAUUAGAGUUUCCUGAUAAUAUGAGUGAUAAAAAGGUUUUACAGUAG